UACAGAGGGGCAAGCGUUAUUCGGAAUUAUUGGGCGUAAAGAGCUCGUAGGCGGUUUGUCGCGUCUGCUGUGAAAACUCGAGGCUCAACCUCGGGCUUGCAGUCGAUACGGGCAGACUUGAGUUCGGUAGGGGAGACUGGAAUUCCUGGUGUAGCGGUGAAAUGCGCAGAUAUCAGGAGGAACACCGGUGGCGAAGGCGGGUCUCUGGGCCGAUACUGACGCUGAGGAGCGAAAGCGUGGGGAGCGAACAGG
rnacentral:rRNA from 1 species